AUUGAACGCUGGCGGCAGGCCUAACACAUGCAAGUCGAGCGAGCGGCGGACGGGUGAGUAAUGUAUGGGGAUCUGCCCGAUAGAGGGGGAUAACUACUGGAAACGGUAGCUAAUACCGCAUACUAUCGGAUGAACCCAUAUGGGAUUAGCUAGUAGGUGGGGUAAAGGCUCACCUCGGCGACGAUCUCUAGCUGGUCUGAGAGGAGGACCAGCCACACUGGGACUGAGACACGGCCCAGACUCCUACGGGAGGCAGCAGUGGGGAAUAUUGCACAAUGGGCGCAAUCCUGAUGCAGCCAUGCCGCGUGUAUGAAGAAGGCCUUAGGGUUGUAAAGUACUUUCAGCGGGGAGGCGUUACCCGCAGAAGAAGCACCGGCUAACGCCGUGCCAGCAGCCGCGGUAAUUC
rnacentral:rRNA from 1 species